GGUAUGUAAUCCUUGAGUUCAAUUGCCCCUUUCCUCCUCUUAGAAAUCAAGAGAAUAAAGAAAUCAUUGAUAGAUUUUACCAUGAAAUACUUCAAGCAUGUUGAGAAAAUGUCAUAGCAAAGUCGUCCGGUCCUGGUGCCUUAUCUGGAACACAACGCUUCAGUGACUUAUCAGAUUUCAUCCUCUUCAAACUCCCUUAUCAACCAAAUUCUUUCUGCUGCAGAGAUUCUAGUUCUAU
rnacentral:misc_RNA from 1 species